rnacentral:rRNA from 1 species
AACAAACGCUGGCGGCGUGCCUAACACAUGCAAGUCGUACGAGAAAGGGUCCUUCGGGGCCUGAGUAAAGUGGCGCACGGGUGAGUAACGCGUGGAUAAUCUGCCCUUCAGUUGGGAAUAACUCAUCGAAAGGUGGGCUAAUACCGAAUAAUGCUGUGAGACCUCGGUUGAUCAGCCAAAGAGAGCCUCUGCUUGCAAGCCCUCGCUGAAGGAUGAGUCCGCGUACCAUUAGCUAGUUGGUAGGGUAAUGGCCUACCAAGGCGACGAUGGUUAGCUGGUCUGAGAGGAUGAUCAGCCACACUGGAACUGAGACACGGUCCAGACUCCUACGGGAGGCAGCAGUGAGGAAUCUUGCGCAAUGGGGGCAACCCUGACGCAGCAACGCCGCGUGAGUGAGGAAGGUCUUCGGAUCGUAAAGCUCUGUCGGAUGGAAAGAACCGCAUAGGGGUAAACAGCCCCUGUGUCUGACGGUACCAUCAAAGGAAGCACCGGCUAACUCCGUGCCAGCAGCCGCGGUAAUAC